rfam:Hordeum vulgare subsp. vulgare, WGS project CAJW01000000 data, contig: morex_contig_2546826
UAUAUACUUCCUCCGUUCCAAAUUUUUUUGUCUUAGCUUUGGCUAAAAAUGAAUGCAUCUAAAUACUAGAACUUGAUUAGAUACAUUCAUAUCUAAAGAAAUCUAAGAUAAGAAUAUUGAAACGGAGGGAGUGGUUU